CAGUAGGGAGGAAGGUAGUGUAGUUAACACCUGCACUAUUUGACGUUACCUACAGAAGAAGCACCGGCUAACUCCGUGCCAGCAGCCGCGGUAAUACGGAGGGUGCGAGCGUUAAUCGGAAUUACUGGGCGUAAAGCGCAUGCAGGCGGCCUGUUAAGUCAGAUGUGAAAGACCCGGGGCUUAACCUCGGAAUUGCAUUUGAAACUAGGCAGGCUAGAGUCUUGUAGAGGGGGGUAGGAAUUUCAGGUGUAGCGGUGAAAUAGCGUAGAGAUCUGAAGGAAUACCAGUGGCGAAGGCGGCCCCCUCGGACAAAGACUGACGCUCAGAUGCGAAAGCGUGGGGAGCAAACAGGAUUAGAUACCCUGGUAG
rnacentral:rRNA from 1 species